CAGAGUGAACGCUGGCGGCAGGCCUAACACAUGCAAGUCGAGCGGCAGCGCAGCAGUAGCAAUACUGUGGGCGGCGAGCGGCGGACGGGUGAGGAACACAUCGGAAUCUACCUUGUCGUGGGGGAUAACGUAGGGAAACUUACGCUAAUACCGCAUACGACCUACGGGUGAAAGCGGCGGACCGCAAGGCGUCGCGCGAUUGGAUGAGCCGAUGUCCGAUUAGCUAGUUGGCGGGGUAAUGGCCCACCAAGGCGACGAUCGGUAGCUGGUCUGAGAGGACGACCAGCCACACUGGAACUGAGACACGGUCCAGACUCCUACGGGAGGCAGCAGUGGGGAAUAUUGGACAAUGGGCGCAAGCCUGAUCCAGCCAUGCCGCGUGGGUGAAGAAGGCCUUCGGGUUGUAAAGCCCUUUUGUUCGGGAAGAAAUCCUGUCGGUUAAUACCCGGCGGGGAUGACGGUACCGGAAGAAUAAGCACCGGCUAACUUCGUGCCAGCAGCCGCGGUAA
rnacentral:rRNA from 1 species